UAAAAAGCAACCGUCAUUUUGACGGCCAUCUUUUUAUCUAUUUUGACGAGCCGUCGUUGUCAAACGCGAAAGACGGCGACUUCUCCGUGAACGUGCGAGCGAGGAGAAAGAGACGGAGAGCGCAACACAAAACGAGAAACUCUAUUGGCUGGCGCGUAGGGGACGUCAUCUGUGACGUCGUUCCACGUGCGCUUCGGGCCCCCGCGGCUGCUUCAAGGAAGGAGUCCUCCUCGUCCGGUUGUUGCCUGCGCAGGGGAAGCUGGUUCCGUCCCCUCGUUUUUCUUUGUGCGCGCUGCUACUGCCUGGGCGUGCGGUCGGCUUUUUUCGCCAUUUUUGCCUUUUUGUGUGUGGCGCGUUGGAAGGCCGCGAAGACGCAGUCAAGGAACGUGUGGGCAUCGAGCUGCAGCCGAAAAUCAACUGCAGCGUGUUAAGGUAAGUGUAGUGUGUUCUGCUUAUAUGCUUCUUCGUCUGUUUACAUGCUUCGUUCGUGCAGCACGUGUUCUGUGAGGCACAUAGCUCACGAGAAGCACGCUAGUUCUCAAGCGUAAUGUACUACACGCUCCGACGGCCGUGGGCGCGAGACUGCCGUUUAGAGACGUGCUUCUGCGUAAAGCGGAAAAGCGGAAACCACACAACCGCGAUCUUUCGCGCGUGACUCGCGGCCUCAUGGUUCAGCCACGUGCAGCGAUUUUCAGGGGCUGCCUGCACCCACGUGUAAAAAAAAAAAAAAAAAAAAUCUUCAUGUGAGGGACACUGAAGCGUACGAAGAGAAUUGGCGCACGUUAAUUGAAGAGAGUAGAAGAAAGUCGUUUUUAGUGCCCCUAUCAUGCAGGCACAUAUAUCCCGAUCGAGUCUGACUUUCGAUCACUGCUACGCGGGCCAAGGAUCUAAAACGAGUUGGUCGAGCUCUGGCGCGCUAUGCGUCGCUGUUUAAAUGCAGAACACCUGAUGAAUGUGCUUAAUAGGCAGUAAAAGUAGUUGUAAUUACCAUUCUUUACAUUUUCAUUUGUUAUUCAGGCUAAGACAUGUGCUAUGACUACCAGAUUCGUAAAAUUAUGCGUCAAUAAAACCAGACUACUUUUCGUGCACUGUUGUUUAGAUCAGCCUUUUCUGCGUUAUUUCUUACGCUCUUUAUUUCUUUUCUUUUUUCUCUCCUCGCUUCCUGGCACACCGAGUUAUGGGGAGCAUACGUCGGUGUCCGGUGGCGAUAGGACAGCUCGAUCCUGUUGCGGACGUGGCGUACCCUCCCGACUGCCCCCUCACCAUGGAGUUUUUGCAGAGGUACCUUGGGCAGAUCAACCCAACGAAAGGGCGCGGCAAAGGCAGGGCCGGCGGAAUCGCGCCAAGGUUACUCAGCCUGCUGAAAGCACUUUAAUUUAUGAAUAAAUGUGCAAGUAGAGAUGUA